CCUGUCUCUUAUCCUGUUCUCUUGAACAGCCACUGGAGAUCUAUGGAAAAGAGCUUAAGAAAGGCCAUGUGAAGACACGGUGAGAAGACGGCCAUCUGAAAGUCAGGAGGAGUAUCCUCUUGAGAACUGAAUCAAGCUAGUACUUUGAUCUUGGACUUCCAGCCUCCAGAACUGUUUUGCAUUUGAUGGUUUCCAGGAACUGCUAAGAGUGAGAUCAUCCCUGAAGCAGUGACUGCCAGAGGAAGGCGAGAGACAUAUGGUGGCC
rnacentral:lncRNA from 1 species